rnacentral:rRNA from 1 species
UACAGAGGUCUCAAGCGUUGUUCGGAUUCAUUGGGCGUAAAGGGUGCGUAGGCGGCGCGGUAAGUCGGGCGUGAAACUCUCGGAGCUUAACUCCGAAACUGCAUUCGAUACUGCCGUGCUUGAGGACUGGAGAAGGAGACUGGAAUUUACGGUGUAGCGGUGAAAUGCGUAGAUAUCGUAAGGAAGACCAGUGGCGAAGGCGGGUCUCGUGGACAGUUCCUGACGCUGGAGGCAACGAAGGCCAGGGGAGCAAACGGG